AUGGGAGAGCGAGUGUGGAAUAUUUUCUCUGUCAAUAGUGGCAAAUCCUUAAAAGAUUUUACAAAGGAAGGUAACCUGAUUUGAUGCCUGUUUGAGAAAGAUCACUGGUGGCAGCAUUUUGGAAGAAAAUUACAGAGGGGUGAAUUUAGUAACAAAGUUAUUCUAAAGAUCCAGUGCAGAAGGAAUUCAGCAAAAGGCAAAGUGAUAGGCGAGAAAUUGAUGUAUUGAGAGAGAGUCACACUCCAUAAACAGAGUGUGAGCCAUCUUGGAAGCACAAUGAAAGAUCUGCAUGAUGCAGCAAAGAUCCUGAAUGCCACAACUAAGACUCAACACAGCCAAAUAAAUAAAGAAAUUUUAAGUUAAUAAAUAAAUAGAUACAGAAGGUUUACUGGAAGACAAACACUUUGCAUGCUCUUAGUUAAUUUUGACUACCUAAAUAUAAACACACUACUAAAGUGUUGUGGCCUUUUCUUUAAAAAGACUGAAUAGAAAUCACAGAGGAAAUGUCUCGUUUAAUUUUCUGUACACGAUCCUGAAU
ensembl:lncRNA